rnacentral:tRNA from 1 species
UGGCUCAGUGGUUAGGAGCACUGGCUGCUCUUCCAGAGGACCUGGGUUCAAGUCCCAG